rnacentral:rRNA from 1 species
UCUCUUGAGAGCGGCGGACGGGUGAGUAAAGCCUAGGAAUCUGCCUGGUAGUGGGGGAUAACGUUCGGAAACGGACGCUAAUACCGCAUACGUCCUACGGGAGAAAGCAGGGGACCUUCGGGCCUUGCGCUAUCAGAUGAGCCUAGGUCGGAUUAGCUAGUUGGUGAGGUAAUGGCUCACCAAGGCGACGAUCCGUAACUGGUCUGAGAGGAUGAUCAGUCACACUGGAACUGAGACACGGUCCAGACUCCUACGGGAGGCAGCAGUGGGGAAUAUUGGACAAUGGGCGAAAGCCUGAUCCAGCCAUGCCGCGUGUGUGAAGAAGGUCUUCGGAUUGUAAAGCACUUUAAGUUGGGAGGAAGGGCAUUAACCUAAUACGUUAGUGUUAUGACGUUACCGACAGAAUAAGCACCGGCUAACUCUGUGCCAGCAGCCGCGGUAAUACAGAGGGUGCAAGCGUUAAUCGGAAUUACUGGGCGUAAAGCGCGCGUAGGUGGUUUGUUAAGUUGGAUGUGAAAUCCCCGGGCUCAACCUGGGAACUGCAUUCAAAACUGACUGACUAGAGUAUGGUAGAGGGUGGUGGAAUUUCCUGUGUAGCGGUGAAAUGCGUAGAUAUAGG